AGUGUAAGAGGAAGCAGUUAAGCGAUAUGGUGCAAAAAAAGUUUGCGGAGGACAGGUUGCGCCCUCUUGGGGGAGGGGGGGAGGUCCUGCGAAACGCGGACAGCACGAUGUCUCGAAAGGGGUCGUCCCGCGAGACGUCUAAUGAAAAUCCUUUAGUUUCGCGGUUUAAUUUUAGUUAAACUGGUUUUCAUAAGUUUGACACGCUCACUCGUGAGAAAUAAUGCGAUCUCAUUAAUAUUCGUUUUUCUCCUCUCCUGCCAGGUGGAACGAAUGAAAUUUUAUAAUUGCGAUGUAACUAAUGGAGGAAGCAACGUGAAGAGGAAGAAGAGAUGGAAAAGAAGUAGAUUAUCGUUCUAUUGGUGCAAUUCUGAAGGAUAUGGAAAAUAAGUGAAUGAGUAAAAAUAUGAGAAAUGUUAAGUUGUAAGAAGCAAUGUGUAAAAAAUUGAAGGCCAUCGAAUUUAAAAGAUUAUGCAAUUCUGCAGAUUAGAAAAUAUGUAAAUAAGUGGAAUGAAUGAAACUUUAUAAUUGCAAUGUAACUAAUGGAGGAAGCAACGUGAAGAGGAAGAAGAGAUGGAAAAGAAAGAAGAUUAUUGUCCUAUUGGUGCAAUUCUGAAGGAUAUGGAAAAUAAGUGAAUGAGUAAAUAUGAAAAAUAUAAAGUUGUAAGAAGCAAUAUGUAAAAAAUUGAAGGUCAUCAAAAGAUUAUGCAAUUCUGCAAAGUAAGAAAUAUGUAAAUAAUGGAGAAAGCAACAUAAAAAAGAAGAAGAAAAAAUGGAAAGCAACAAGAAAGAAGACUAUUGUCCCGGUGCAAUUCUGAAGGAUAUGUAAAAUAAAUAUAUGAGUAAAUAUAAGAAAUAUAAAGUAUAAGAAGCAAUGUGUAAAAAAUUAAAGACCAUCGAAUUUAAAAGAUUAUGCAAUUCUGCAGACUAGAAAAUAUAUAAAUAAAUAAGUAUAUUUAAUUGUAAGUAAAUUAUAAGUAAAAAGAAUUUUGUAUUAUACAAAUUUUGACAAACAUCCUCGAUUCAGUCCACGUUUAAUAUUGCAAAGGUAUCUCAUAAUUGAAUAAAAAGAAUAAAAAGUAUCUUCAAAUAAAUAUUCUUGGUUUAAUAUAAUAUUUUAAAUUUUUAAGGAGAGAAAAGAAUAUAACUUUGAAUCGCAUCUUUCAAUUAUUGAAAAUGUGUUCUCCAUUCUGAACAUUGAAGAAACAAGAGAAUUUGAAACAAGGGAAUCUCUUUUUCCGAUUGAGGUUAUGUCAGUUUGCCUUUCUAGGUAUGGCAAUAAUGCGUAUCAUAAAGAAUUGAACAGAACAAUCUAACCUCAAAAUAGAAGGUUAGAAGAAUUUAAUAUUAAGAGAUGCCUCUUAUUUUCCGACUCGAAUAUCGAUGUUUCAAUCUCAAUUAUUUUUGGCAUUUCACUUUUAUAUACAUAUUUGAAACGCGUACCUUUAUUGCUCGAUUUAAUUUUAUUAAUUGAAGGGAAAUCGAGAUAAUUGAAGUACUAGGUGGAUAAAACAUUUUAUUAGUUUGAGAAUUUUAUCAAUUUAGAGAGAUAAUUGAGAUGUUUGAUGAAUAAAAUAGAUCGACGGAUAAAGUAUCGGGAAUUUUAUUAUCUCGCGAAUAGCUCUGUUUAAAAUUCAAUAUUAAAAAUAACAAUUAAUAACCUAUAAAUUGAAUUACAAAGCGACAAAUAAGAUAAACAUCUGUUAAACGGAUUUUAAAUUAUAUUAAAAGAUGAGCACGUUAAUAAUACAUACAUUUUUCUAAAAAUUCUCAAUUUUAAAUAUCUUUAGCUUUAAUUCCUUUUUUUCUUUUAUACCUUUAUUCAUCGAAACAAACGUAUUUAUCACUACUGGUCAAUCACGUCAAAAAUAUUAUGCUAAACUAAAAUUGUUAAAAAUUAUUCAAAAUAAUCUCAAUUCCACCUAUCUAUAUUCUACCUACGAGAGAAAGAGUUUUCACACGUGCAAAUUUCUAAAGAGAAAUUUAGUUUGAAUGUUUAAUAGAAAUGUUCGUACACAACGUGUAUCAAUGUCCAUCGUUUCACACUACAAUGAUUAAUGGAACAAUGCACGCGGACGAAUAAUUGUGAUCACGUUAAAUUGCAGAGUUGGCGCAUUGAAAUAAGGGUAUAUACCGUGUUUCAAUGCAAUAAUUGUUGGCGUUUCAGUAAUCAGAUUUGAACUUGGUGGUAUUUUAUAAUAA